ACACAAUAUCUAUUCAAAGCGGAGGAGAAGGAAACAAGAAAAAAAAUUCGAAAAGGGAGAAAGUAUACGUAAGAAAGUACAUAUUCUAUAUUGGAAGUUUGCCAGAAAAUCCAAAAACCACUGGCAUUCUGCCUUAUGUUCUCUAUUCCCAUUUUGUGGAAUCAGAGGAUCAACUAUCAUAAUCUCUUCUCAUCUUUCCAGAAUUUGAUUUUGUUUCCUCAAUUUCUAUAGCUACNNNNN
rnacentral:lncRNA from 1 species